CCAGACUCCUACGGGAGGCAGCAGUGAGGAAUAUUGGUCAAUGGGCGAGAGCCUGAACCAGCCAAGUCGCGUGAGGGAAGACGGUCCUAUGGAUUGUAAACCUCUUUUGCCGGGGAGCAAAAAGCGGUACGUGUACCGCAUCGAGAGUACCCGGAGAAAAAGCAUCGGCUAACUCCGUGCCAGCAGCCGCGGUAAUACGGAGGAUGCGAGCGUUAUCCGGAUUUAUUGGGUUUAAAGGGUGCGUAGGCGGGCUUUUAAGUCAGCGGUAAAAAUUCGGGGCUCAACCCCGUCCGGCCGUUGAAACUGGGGGCCUUGAGUGGGCGAGAAGAAGGCGGAAUGCGUGGUGUAGCGGUGAAAUGCUUAGAUAUCACGAAGAACCCCGAAUGCGAAGGCAGCUUACUAAACUGUGACUGACAUUGAUGCUCGAAAGUGUGGGUAUCAAACAGGAUUAGAUACCCCGGUA
rnacentral:rRNA from 1 species